rnacentral:rRNA from 1 species
AACGAACGCUGGCGGCAGGCUUAACACAUGCAAGUCGAACGCAUCCUUCGGGGUGAGUGGCAGACGGGUGAGUAACGCGUGGGAACGUGCCCUUCAGUUCGGGAUAACCCAGGGAAACUUGGGCUAAUACCGGAUACGUGCGAGAGCAGAAAGAUUUAUCGCUGAAGGAUCGGCCCGCGUCUGAUUAGCUAGUUGGUGGGGUAAUGGCCCACCAAGGCGACGAUCAGUAGCUGGUCUGAGAGGAUGAUCAGCCACAUUGGGACUGAGACACGGCCCAAACUCCUACGGGAGGCAGCAGUGGGGAAUAUUGGACAAUGGGCGCAAGCCUGCUCCAGCCACGCCGCGUGAGUGAUGAAGGCCUUAGGGUUGUAAAGCUCUUUCGUCCGGGACGAUAAUGACGGUACCGGAAGAAGAAGCCCCGGCUAACUUCGUGCCAGCAGCCGCCGUAA